UGGUCAUAUCACAUUGAAACACCAGUUCUCAUACCAAAGUUAAGCAAUGUCAAGCUUGGUCAGUACCAAGAUGGGUGACCACUUGAGAAUAUCAGGUGCUGUA